rnacentral:rRNA from 1 species
CCUACGGGUGGCUGCAGUGGGGAAUAUUGCUCAAUGGGGGAAACCCUGAAGCAGCAACGCCGCGUGAGGGAGGAAGGUUUUAGGAUUGUAAACCCCUUUUGUCAGAGAAGAAAAUGACGGUAUCUCACGAAUAAGCCCCGGCUAACUCCGUGCCAGCAGCCGCGGUAAUACGGAGGGGGCAAGCGUUACUCGGAUUCACUGGGCGUAAAGGGUGCGCAGGCGGGAUUGUAAGUCAGAUGUGAAAUCCUGUGGCUUAACUACAGAACUGCAUUUGAAACUGUGAGUCUAGAGUGUGGGGGAGGUAGGUGGAAUUCUUGGUGUAGGGGUAAAAUCCGUAGAUAUCAAGAGGAAUACUCAUUGCGAAGGCGACCUACUGGAACAUUACUGACGCUGAUGCACGAAAGCGUGGGGAGCAAACAGGAUUAGAUACCCUUGUAGUC